UUCCAGACUCCUACGGGAGGCAGCAGUGGGGAAUAUUGCACAAUGGGGGAAACCCUGAUGCAGCAACGCCGCGUGGAGGAAGACGGUUUUCGGAUUGUAAACUUCUGUUCUUAGUGAAGAAUAAUGACGGUAGCUAAGGAGCAAGCCACGGCUAACUACGUGCCAGCAGCCGCGGUAAUACGUAGGUGGCAAGCGUUGUCCGGAAUUACUGGGUGUAAAGGGAGCGCAGGCGGGAAGCCAAGUCAGCUGUGAAAACUACGGGCUUAACUUGUAGACUGCAGUUGAAACUGGUUUUCUUGAGUGAAGUAGAGGUUGGCGGAAUUCCGAGUGUAGCGGUGAAAUGCGUAGAUAUUAGGAGGAACACCAGUGGCGAAGGCGUCUUACUGGACCGAAACUGACGUUGAGGCUCGAAAGCGUGGGGAGCAAACAGGAUUAGAUACCCUCGUAC
rnacentral:rRNA from 1 species